GAGGGUAUAGCUCAGUGGUAGAGUGCAUGCUUAGCAUGUGCAAGGUCCUGGGUUCAACCCCCAGUACCACUG
rnacentral:tRNA from 1 species